rnacentral:lncRNA from 1 species
UUUGGCAUGCCAGGCAUCUUUUUGAUGGAAGGAGGUAAGAUAGUCUCAGUGUUCUCUUAAGAUCAUAUCCUUUGGCCAUUUAAUGGUUGUAGUGAAUACUGAUAAGCCAUCAAAUAUGCUUUUUUCUUAUAGCAGUCACCAACAUACGUAUCUAUAUCUUAUUUUAUCCAAUUGAUGCAUGAGAUUAUAUGGAUGCAUGAUAUGUC